ACCCCCUUUCAGGUAGUUGAAAGCAGCUAUCAAAUCCCCCCUCAUUCUCUCUUCUGCAGACUAAAUAAUCCCAGUUCCCUCAGCCUCUCCUCAUAAAUCAAUGAAAAGACAAUAAACUAUUACCCCUCUGUACUCAGCCUGUGCUGUAUGAGUCAAGCUGGCAUCUUUCCAUCAUUCACUUACACCUGCAAAACUGAGUUACAAUGGCGUAGCUCCAUGAUCCUCAUUUAAGCCAACAGUGACUGCACUGCAAGGGUUUGCACAGGUGUAACUGAUUGGAACAUAGUAAACUGUUCUGCUGAUGAUGCACAAGAAGGAAUAGAAUUAAGCUGACAUGCUCAUAGCUGUGCUGGCUGUGCAGGAAUAAGGGGAGGAAAAAGCGGUAAAAAUGUACUGCUGUGACAAAAGUCAGCAGAUAUAAUUCUAAAUACACAUAAGGAGAAAGCGGAUCUGUUGAGUGAGAGAGUGCCAUUUUACAUUGUUGCAGACAAGAGCCGUGCGUUAAUCACCUUUGCAAAGCACUUUGAGAUCCAUAGAUGAGAAGUGUUAUUAUAUGAGUGCAAAGUGUUAUCACUUGUCAUUUCAUCUGAUGUGGGAUCAUCACAAAUCAAUGCAGCUGCUUGAAAAACAAGCAGAACAUCAGUAGCUGCAUGCUCUGUUACAAGGUCCUGGCUGAGGGUGUUAGUUAGCUAGCAUAUUAAUUUUUUUCUUUCCAUUGUCCUCCAAAAGAUGCUUUCUGACAUAGAAACUUAAAUCAAUUCUAAAUAAAUUUGGGUGGGCAGCACUAUCAUGCUUGGAAAAAAAUCUGGGAUAUCACAUGCAUAGAAUCAAUCUGUUUUUCAUUCAGGCUCUUUUGCAGAACCAAAACCAGAAAACUAACAGGUUUCUCCCUCCUCCUUGAACUAGAGAACUUGGAAUCGUAUCUGAUGAUAUGCUGUAUUCUCUGGCUUAUAAUUAUCACAUAUAUUAUGUCCUGCAGGGCAACUUCCACUCAGUGACAUCAGUAGUUUACAUAGCAGUUGAACUAAGAAUAACCUUGAAGAGCUGACCCACAUCAGCCUCAUAACAAUGUAAACAGCUUGUAGCUCACAACACUCCUCUCUUUGCAUAAUUGCAAAAGGGCUUCACUUGGAAGAGGAAAAUGUUGAGUUCGCAAGACACUGCCCCAUAAUUCUUAGAGUUCACAAAGAUGAGAGAGAGAGAGGAAGUGGACUGGACUGUGGAGAAAGUGUUGAACCAGUUAAAAAGGAGGAAGAGAAACUACUAAUGAGUUGCUUCUCUAAAAGAACAGGGGUUGCGUAUGGCAGCAUUUUCAGGUGGGG